rnacentral:misc_RNA from 1 species
CCUCCUUAUACGAUUUAGAACUUAUUUGUUCGUAGUGUCCACACAGAUGAUUGUUAGUUAGCUAAGCCACUGGCUUACCUAAUUAAUAUGCUCUUUAAAAAUUUGGUAAAGCUGAUAAUAAAAUUCGUAUAGAUAACAGUUGUUAUUUAUACAGAGUUUUCAAAAGUAAAAAAAUGCCAUUGAUUAUUCAAACGAAUAAUGAAUUGGUAUCUACUUUAGUAUUCAAUAUUAACUUCUGGCGAAGUUAAACUGUCACUAACAAAGACCCGUUUGGGUUGUAUGGUUAAGUGACUAAGCGUACACGGUGGAUGCCUUGGCAGUUGGAGGCGAUGAAGGACGUAUUAACUUGCGAUAAGCCUAGUCAAGCUAGUAAAAAGCGCUUGAGACUAGGAUUUCCGAAUGGGA